AUUUAUUGGGUUUAAAGGGUGCGUAGGCGGUUUGAUAAGUUAGAGGUGAAAUUUCGGGGCUCAACCCUGAACGUGCCUCUAAUACUGUUGAGCUAGAGAGUAGUUGCGGUAGGCGGAAUGUAUGGUGUAGCGGUGAAAUGCUUAGAGAUCAUACAGAACACCGAUUGCGAAGGCAGCUUACCAAACUAUAUCUGACGUUGAGGCACGAAAGCGUGGGGAGCAAACAGGAUUAGAUACCCUGGUAGUCCACGCAGUAAACGAUGAUAACUCGUUGUCGGCGAUACACAGUCGGUGACUAAGCGAAAGCGAUAAGUUAUCCACCUGGGGAGUACGUUCGCAAGAAUGAAACUCAAAGGAAUUGACGGGGGCCCGCACAAGCGGAGGAACAUGUGGUUUAAUUCGAUGAUACGCGAGGAACCUUACCCGGGCUUGAAAGUUAGCGACGAUUCUUGAAAGAGGAUUUCCCUUCGGGGCGCGAAACUAGGUGCUGCAUGGUUGUCGUCAGCUCGUGCCGUGAGGUGUCGGGUUAAGUCCCAUAACGAGCGCAACCCCUACCGUUAGUUGCCAUCAGGUCAAGCUGGGCACUCUGGCGGGACUGCCGGUGUAAGCCGAGAGGAAGGUGGGGAUGACGUCAAAUCAGCACGGCCCUUACGUCCGGGGCUACACACGUGUUACAAUGGUAGGUACAGAGGGCCGCUACCCCGCGAGGGGAUGCGAAUCUCGAAAGCCUAUCUCAGUUCGGAUUGGAGGCUGAAACCCGCCUCCAUGAAGUUGGAUUCGCUAGUAAUCGCGCAUCAGCCAUGGC
rnacentral:rRNA from 1 species